rnacentral:rRNA from 1 species
UACGAAGGGGGCUAGCGUUGUUCGGAAUUACUGGGCGUAAAGGGCGCGUAGGCGGCUUCAACAGUCGGGCGUGAAAUGCCUGGGCUUAACCCAGGAACUGCGUUCGAAACUGCGAGGCUAGAGUGUGGGAGAGGAUGGUGGAAUUCCCAGUGUAGAGGUGAAAUUCGUAGAUAUUAGGAAGAACACCGGUGGCGAAGGCGCCCACUGGUCCGGUAC